rnacentral:rRNA from 1 species
UACGGGGGGGGCAAGCGUUGUUCGGAAUUACUGGGCGGAAAGGGCUCGUAGGCGGCCAACUAAGUCAGACGUGAAAUCCCUCGGCUUAACCGGGGAACUGCAUCCGAUACUGGAUGGCUUGAGUUCGGGAGAGGGAUGCGGAAUUCCAGGUGUAGCGGUGAAAUGUGCAGAUAUCAGGAAGAACACCCGUGGCUAAGGCGGCUCUCUAGUACGGUACUGACGCUGAGACGCGAAAGCGUGGGGAGCGAACAGG